CCUCCCCUCUAUGGGAAAGUGAGCUUUUUUUGUAAAGAGAAAACAAAGAAAAUGGCGAGAGAUGGAGAUAAACUCGGUUCCGCCUGCCCCAUUUUCUGAAUAAUCCCUGAGUGUGAGCAGUCCUGGGUUGGAUUUACCCCACCCAACACCCAGGCUACCAACUGCGAGCAGAUGAAAGGAAAGCUGCUGCUGGUUCUCAGAAUUUGAGGAGAUGACCUUGACAUUAAAAAGCUCGGGUCGAUGAGGAGGGGAACGCCACAAACGUAGGAGCAGAGAUGGCCUUGAUUUGACUUCAGUAAUACUGGAUUUACUUGAUAAGUUCCUCAUAAUGAACUGGAGACUGAGUAAAGAAGAACAGAACAUUCCACAAAACAUCCAAACAAUAUCAAGAUGACAAUUUGAAGGGUGUUGUAAAUGGAAAGGCUAUCACUACAGUUUCUCGGGCUGCAGUACUGAGUACUCAGCGAUUGUUUCCUUGAUGGAUGAAUCUUACUCACAGAAGGAGGAGGUACGGAGAACUGUCCCGUCUCUUGGUCUGACCAUGCUGCUUGGAGAUAACAGCUGGACUGUUAACCAUUAGAACCAGAUUUCAAAUUGAGCUUUCUGUCUAGCUGAAUUCAGUGAGAGUUGUAAUGAUGGUGUGAAAUGUUUUAUGUCACAAUGUGUUUUCAUGCUGUUGAUUGCCAUUUUAACGUUUCUUUUCAAGGGAAUGAGCCAAUGGUGCAGAAAUAUUUGGAGUACUUGCCCUUAAGAUUUAACUAUAAAUAAAGUUACCUAAUGUUUUGUGUAACAAUUGCUUUCUGUGCCUAAUUUAUUUAAAGUGUGUUAUCUCAGUAGUUGAGACUCUGGGGCUAUGGGGAAGGCUGUAUUACUAACUUUCCAACAUUCUCUGAGAUAAAAGUCAUCUGGAGUUGUUUUAUUUUUGGAUGUGUAGCUGAAGUUGGUCCAGAAUGCAAACUGUGUUCAGAGCUAACAAAUUGCUGAAUUUUUGAGGUUUAUACCAAAAAGCUGCUGUUGUAUAGAGGGGUCUGGUACCAAAUUGAUUACGGUACUGGUCUAGUGUAGAAGGGUCUGGUACUGUUGUGAUUAUGGUACUGGACUAGUGUAGAGGGCCCUGGUACCACAGUGAUUUUGGCACUGGUCUAGUGUAGAAGGGCCUGGUACUGGACUAAGAAAGGUAAGAAAUCGGAGCAGAAAGAACAUUAUGAUAUGGCUGAUAAUCUGCCUCAACUCCACUUUCCCACCUGCUCCCAAUAUCCCCAAUUCUCUCAAGAGACCAAAAAUCUGUCUAUUCCGGCUUUAAAUGUAUUCAACGAUGGAGCAUCCACAACCCUCUGGGGUAGAGAAUUUCAAAGUUUUGAGCUUUUGAGUAAAGAAAUUUCUCCGCAUCUCAAUCCUAAGCAGUCAGCCUAUGAUCCUGAGACUGUGCCCCUUGUUCUAGAUUCCCUGACCAUGGGAAACAACCUCUCUAUGUUUACACUAUAAAGCCCCUUCAGAAUCUUUCAUGUUUCAAUGAGAUCACCUCUCAUUCGUCUAAACUCCAGAGAAUAUAAGCCCAAUUUACUCAGCAUCUCAUCCUAGGACAACCCUCUCACCCCAGUUACUAACUGACUGAACCCUCACUGUACCACCUCAAGGCAAGUAUAUCAUUCCUUAAAUGUGGAGAUCAAAACUGUAUUCCAGGUGUGGUCUCACCAAA